rnacentral:rRNA from 1 species
UACGUAGGCAGCAAGCGUUGUUCGGAAUUACUGGGCGUAAAGAGUGUGUAGGCGGUGCUCUAAGUUUGGUGUGAAAUCUCCCGGCUCAACUGGGAGGGUGCGCCGAAAACUGGAAUGCUUGAACAUGGGAGAGGAAAGCGGAAUUCCUGGAGUAGCGGUGAAAUGCGUAGAUAUCAGGAGGAACACCUGCGGUGUAGACGGCUUUCUGGACCAUUGUUGACGCUGAGACACGAAAGCGUGGGUAGCAAACAGGAUUAGACCGUACCGACGAG